AUAUCUUUCUCGACCUUUUGGCUAAGAUCAAGUGCAGUAUCUGUUUGAUAUGUGGGCUAAGUGUCAGGGAGGGUCCAUCAGAAUAGCUUGCUAUUGGGGCCCUCAAGUGUAGUCCGGGCGUUGCACCCUAUAA
rfam:Triticum aestivum genome assembly, contig: Triticum_aestivum_CS42_TGACv1_scaffold_513934_6BS